rnacentral:piRNA from 1 species
UGUUUGCUUUUGAAUGACCAUAGCUUGCUU